rnacentral:rRNA from 1 species
GUAAGGAAUAUUGGGCAAUGGACGCAAGUCUGACCCAGCCAUGCCGCGUGAAGGAUGACGGUCCUCUGGAUUGUAAACUUCUUUUAUCUGGGGCGAAAACCACCCUUUCUAGGGUGCUUGACAGUACCAGAUGAAUAAGCACCGGCUAACUCCGUGCCAGCAGCCGCGGUAAUACGGAGGGUGCAAGCGUUAUCCGGAUUCACUGGGUUUAAAGGGUGCGUAGGCGGGCAGGUAAGUCAGUGGUGAAAUCUUCGAGCUUAACUCGGAAACUGCCGUUGAUACUAUCUGUCUUGAAUAUAGUGGAGGUAAGCGGAAUAUGUCAUGUAGCGGUGAAAUGCUUAGAUAUGACAUAGAACACCAAUUGCGAAGGCAGCUUGCUACACUAUUAUUGACGCUGAGGCACGAAAGCGUGGGGAUCAAACAGGAUUAGAAACCCCAGUAGUCC